rnacentral:lncRNA from 1 species
UUUUUCUUUUUUUUGGUGAAGGAAUUCAAGGGGGAAUGGGGCUUGUCUAUACUUUCCAAAUUCUCUACUUUGAAUACUUAGGGUAUUUUAAAAAUCAAUCAAUAAAUAUUAACUAAAAAGUAAAUUUUUAAAACCUGAGGAAGGCAUGUGCAGUUCAGGAAACACCAAAUAAAACUACAUCUUUAAUUGUAAAGAAAGCAAAGAACUAAAUUCAGAUAACUCGGUGAUCUAUCAAAUCAGUCAGGAAACAAUUGGGUAUUGUUUAUGAUCAUUCCUGAGUAGGUUUCACUCAAUAUUCGGUUUACUUUUUUAAUUGUCUCAUAAUUUACAAGUGUUACUUUAUGUAUUUAUUUUUCAAAACAUCACUCUCAGACAGUUUGGCUAAUAGAAACUACAUUAUUCUGGCUUUCUGGAACACCUGAAAGAGAAUUAUUUUUGAUUGCAGAGCAAUUUUGUGAUACUUCUAAGUGGAAGGGGCUAAGAAAUUUUGUGAUGUUCUAAAACAGUUCAUCUAAAAAUGUUUUCGAUAUUCAGACUGCGUAUUAUUGAUCACGUAUUUUACCCCCUGUUUUUAUUAUGUCCUUUUUUUGCUUAGCAUAAAACUACAUUUAUUUUUUAUUGAAGUAGAGUUGAUAUGCAAUGUUACAUUAGUUUCAGGUGUACAGCAUAGUGAUUCAAUAAAUCUAUACAUUAUGCUAUGCUCAUAAAAGUAGCUGCCAUCGUCACUAUUCAAUGCUAUUACAGUAUCACUAACUAUACUUCUCAUUUACCUUUUCUUCUUCCUUAUACUCACCUUCUGCACACAGCCUUACAUGAUCCCUCAACUCCCACUACUCAGAGCUGAACAUCAGCUUGGAAACAAUUUACACAUUUCUUUCUCCCACUAAACUGUCAGUUACUUGGUAUGUAAGCAGGUAAGUAAGCAGGUAUGUAAGCUUAUUCUUCUUGGUAUCCUCUCACUAACAUUCGUGACUCCAGACUGGACUCCAGACUUCUCCAUGCCUAUCAGUCCUCCACAUUAUAAGCAGAGUUCCUUUUAUGUAAUAAAAAUGAAAAGAUGCAGUAUCUUCUGGAAAUUUCCUUAUUAGUUUAUUGUAAGUUUUACUGUAGUAAUGGAUAAAUUCUAAAUCUCAAGAGUUCACAAAACAAGGGUUUAUUUCUUCCUCAUGUUAGAAGUCAGUUGGGAACCAGCUAUGACUCUGCCCCCAAAUCUUCUACAUUCUAGGAUUCGUACAGGAAGAACAAUCCUUAUCUACUGCAUUGAGGAAAGAGUAAAGGCAGAAUCAUACAAUAGUUAUGAAAGCUUCUGCUUAGGUAUGGUGUAAAUCACUUUGGCUAACAGGCCAUUGGAAAAAGAAAGUCCCGUGGCCAAGCCUGGUGUCAAUGGUGCAAUGAAUAACAUAAUUCUGUCACAGGGAGGGGCUGCAGAUAAUUGGAAACAGUAACAAGAUAAAUAACAGUAAUGCCUUCUUUUGCAUUUUCAUACUUUUUUUAGAUAUUAAUAGUUGAAGAAAAAUGAGUGGGAGUUGCUAACUCUUGGUUCCUAAUAUAACAAGUAUUUAUUUGUGAUACGAUUUUAAAGCUGAGUUUUGACAAAAGUCAAGUAAAGGAUCUUAAGCUUCUGUUCAGGUCAAUGUGCCUUGACAAAAUUGAACCUCAAGACAUAAUUAGCAAAUCAUUUUUAAAAUUGACAAAGAAAUUAUGUACUAUUCUUUCUAUGAAAUAGGCGUGAAUAUUUCUUAUGCUUUGGGUAUAUCAGACCCAUUUGGAGAUGGUUAUUGAAGAGCCAAAUAAUGCAGUAGUGAUUGAUGGUACAAUCUAAAUUCUCCAGCAUCAAGUUGUGCAGAUGCAUCCUCUAUCUCAAUGGAGUUCAAGAAGAAGCCAUAAAAUGUUCAGCCUCUUUUUGGGCUUUUUUUUUUUUUUAAUCUUGGGCUAUAUUAAUCCUCCUCAGUAGUCAGAAUACCCCAGUAAUUCAGAUAUUUUUCUUAAAGAUGCUGCAAAGCUUAAAUUUUGCUGAUUGAUUAUGCUUCUUGAUUCUUUCGUGGGUUUAAUAUCUAUUAACUGAACGUUAAAUUCGAGAACUUCAAAACUCUUACUUCACUGGAAAACUAUUCCAGCAAAGUUUACUAAUGCAAAACAAAACAACAACAACAAAAAGACUCUGAAUUAUCAAAAAGCUGAAGUAUGCAAUAUUUUUAAGAGUGCAGUGUUACUUCCUUCAACCACAGUAAUUUGAUCUAGCUUUAGGCUCAAGGAUAUCUUUAAAAACUGAUUUUACAAAACGGAUAAAAAGUAUUUGUAAUUACUGUAUCAAUUGUUUGUUUAUGUAGAUGCUGCCAAAGUAUUUAGGAGUGCUUGAGAACAGUUUCUUUUCUUAAAUAUAUUUAUUUUACAGUUUUAUUUACAUUUACUAGCCUGGAAAAACCUUUCAUCACAGAUCUAUGAAAGAUACUGGUUUUCAUGUAAUUGAAAAAAUACAAGCAAAGCUGUUAUUUUGAAUCACACAGACAAAAGAAAAAAUACUGUUUCUUUUCAGAAUCUGAGCAUUAAAAAAAGAAACCAAUUUAAGAUAUGCUACUUAUAUGUAGGAAAAAAGUCUUUCUGUAUUCCUCAGUAAAAUAUUUCAAGGAAUGAAGAUCUAUAUAAACACACACAUAUAUGUAUAUGUAUAUAUAUAUAAAUACACAUAUAUAUAUGAAGAGAGAGAUACGGUUAUAUAUAGUUAUAUGUAUAGUUGCUAAUAUACAUGUAAAUAUAUGUAUGUAUAUAUAUGUGUUUAUACAGAUAUAGAUAUAGAUGGUAUAGAGUUAUAGAUAUAUAGUAAAGGAUUCUAGAUUUUUUCUUAUAGUUAAGCAUUAGAACUUCAUCACUUUUCCCUUCCU